rnacentral:rRNA from 1 species
UAAACGCGUAGGAACCUGUCGCUGGUGGGGGAGUACCACAGGAAACUCGUGCUAAUACCGCAUGAGCUCGCAGCGAUGUGAGGAAAGCAAGAGAUGCGCCGGGUGAGGGGCCUGCGUCCGAUUAGCUAGUUGGUGGGGUAAGGGCCUACCAAGGCGACGAUCGGUAGCUGGUCUGAGAGGAUGGUCAGCCACACUGGGACUGAGACACGGCCCAG